CUCGGAUCAGGUAGGGAUACCGCUGACUUAAGCAUAUCAU
rnacentral:rRNA from 1 species